rnacentral:rRNA from 1 species
AACGAACGCUGGCGGCAUGCCUAACACAUGCAAGUCGAACGAGACCUUCAGGUCUAGUGGCGCACGGGUGCGUAACGCGUGGGAACCUGCCCUUAGGUUCGGAAUAACUCCCCGAAAGGGGUGCUAAUACCGGAUAAUGUCUUCGGCCCAAAGAUUUAUCGCCUAGGGAUGGGCCCGCGUUGGAUUAGCUAGUUGGUAGGGUAAAAGCCUACCAAGGCGACGAUCCAUAGCUGGUCUGAGAGGAUGAUCAGCCACACUGGGACUGAGACACGGCCCAGACUCCUACGGGAGGCAGCAGUGGGGAAUAUUGGACAAUGGGCGAGAGCCUGAUCCAGCAAUGCCGCGUGAGUGAUGAAGGCCUUAGGGUUGUAAAGCUCUUUUACCCGGGAUGAUAAUGACAGUACCGGGAGAAUAAGCGCCGGCUAACUCCGUG